AAAGAAUACCACAAACUCUUUCUAAAAACCCUAGUUCUAGAGAGAGAUAACUCUGCAUAAAAUCAAGGAAAUUCAGAGAAAAUCAAGAGAAAAUACAGGAAAUUCAGAGGGAAACUUAGACUAAGUUAAAGAAGCUGAAAAUCAAGGUUCAAACUGAAGGAGAGCUCCACUAGUUAGGUUCUCCAAGAUACUACCAUUUUAACAUGUAUUACAAGUUGGCAAGAAGACAAUAAGGAUACUAAGCGUGUGUUCAGUUUUCGUGGUUAUGUAUGUAGACUAGGAGUGAGACAAAUGUUGUAUGUAAAGAACAGCCCAUGCAAAGAGCUUAUUACUGAAUGAAAAACAUUUUUAGUUGCUUAUGAAAUA